UACGUAGGGUGCGAGCGUUAAUCGGAAUUACUGGGCGUAAAGCGUGCGCAGGCGGUUCGGAAUGAAAGAUGUGAAAUCCCAGGGCUUAACCCUGGAACUGCAUUUUUAACUCCCGGGCUAGAGUGUGUCAGAGGGGGGUAGAAUUCCACGUGUAGCAGUGAAAUGCGUAGAGAUGUGGAGGAAUACCGAUGGCGAAGGCAGCCCCCUGGGACAACACUGACGCUCAGGCACGAAAGCGUGGGUAGCGAACAGG
rnacentral:rRNA from 1 species